rnacentral:rRNA from 1 species
CGCAUCUGUGCAUGCAGCAUAUCAAUAAGCGGAGGAAAAGAAACUAACAAGGAUUCCCUUAGUAACGGCGAGUGAAGCGGGAAGAGCUCAAAUUUGAAAUCUUCAAGGUUUUACCUUGACGAAUUGUAGUUUAAAGAAGUGUUUUCUGUUGAAGUUUUGGUAAAAGUUCUUUGGAAUAGGACAUCAUAGAGGGUGAGAAUCCCGUAUUUGACCAUUAUUUUCAGCUGUGUGAUACACUUUCAAAGAGUCGGAUUGUUUGGGAAUGCAGUCCAAAAUGGGUGGUAAAUUUCAUCUAAAGCUAAAUAUUGGCGAGAGACCGAUAGCGAACAAGUACCGUGAGGGAAAGAUGAAAAGAACUUUGAAAAGAGAGUUAAACAGUACGUGAAAUUGUCAAAAGGGAAGCGUUUGACACCAGUGUUGUUUUCUCGAAAAUCAAUUAAAAAGAGUUUGAUUUUGUUGUGUAUUGACCUUAACAGCUUGCAUUUCAAUUUUCUUGCUUUUUUUAAUGCACUUUUCGUUUAACAAGUCAACAUCAGGUUUCUUUUGUUGUAAAAAGGUCAUUGGAAGGUGGCUUUCUUUUCGGAGAAAGUGUUUAUAGCCUUUGACUCCUGCAAUCGGGGAGACUGAGGUCUGCAGCGUAGAUCCUUCGGGGCUAGAUACAUUUGUGCUAAGUUAUAGCAUUUUUAUAGACAACUUGUUGACUAUGAUUUAGUCUUGUAGCUUACUCGCUUAUGUUAUUUUACCUACGCUUAGGAUGUUGACAGCAGUAUAGACUGU